GAUGAAGAACGCAGCGAAAUGCGAUAAGUAAUGUGAAUUGCAGAAUUCAGUGAACCAUCGAAUCUUUGAACGCACAUCGCGCCCUCUGGUAUUCCGGGGGGCAUGCCUGUCCGAGCGUCAUUGCUGCCCUCAAGCACGGCUUGUGUGUUGGGCCCCGUCCUCCGAUCCCGGGGGACGGGCCCGAAAGGCAGCGGCGGCACCGCGUCCGGUCCUCGAGCGUAUGGGGCUUUGUCACCCGCUCUGUAGGCCCGGCCGGCGCUUGCCGAUCAACCCAAAUUUUUAUCCAGGUUGACCUCGGAUCAGGUAGGGAUACCCGCUGAACUUAAGCAUAUCAAUAAGCGGAGGA
rnacentral:misc_RNA from 1 species